CACCUGGGCAUCUUCUUAGAAAGCACAGUCAAGUUUGCGGGUCUGGCCUGGGAUUUUGCAUUUCUAACAAGCUCCCAGGUGGUCC
rnacentral:pre_miRNA from 1 species